rnacentral:tRNA from 1 species
UCCCUGGUGGCUCAGCUGGUAAAGAAUCUGUCUGUAAUGCAGGAGACCCAGGUUCAAUCCUUGGGUUGGGAA